rnacentral:rRNA from 1 species
GUAGGGAAUAUUGGGCAAUGGAGGCAACUCUGACCCAGCCAUGCCGCGUGCAGGAUGACGGCCCUCUGGGUUGUAAACUGCUUUUAUACGGGAAGAAAAAAUACUACGUGUAGUAUACUGACGGUACCGUAAGAAUAAGGAUCGGCUAACUCCGUGCCAGCAGCCGCGGUAAUACGGAGGAUCCAAGCGUUGUCCGGAUUUAUUGGGUUUAAAGGGUGCGUAGGCGGAUCUUUAAGUCAGUGGUGAAAGCCUGCAGCUUAACUGUAGAAUUGCCAUUGAAACUGGAGAUCUUGAAUGUGGUUAAAGUAGGCGGAAUGUAUCAUGUAGCGGUGAAAUGCUUAGAUAUGAUACAGAACACCGAUAGCGAAGGCAGCUUGCUGAACCAUUAUUGACGCUGAGGCACGAAAGCGUGGGGAGCGAACAGGAUUAGAAACCCUGGUAGUCC